rnacentral:rRNA from 1 species
AUGGGCAAGGCGGCGCGCUGGAUCCGGGGCUUCCUAGGCGGCGGCGGUAAGAAGGAGCAGAGCAAGGACCAGAAGCCGAUACCUCCGCCAACCAAUGCCAAGCGCUGGAGCUUCGGCAAGUCGUCGCGCGACUCGGCGGAGGCCGCUGCAGCCGCUGCGGCAACGUCGGCGCGCGGGGGCAACGCGGCGAUCGCGAGGGCGGCUGAGGCGGCCUGGCUCAGGUCGGUGUACGACGAGACGGAGCGGGAGCAGAGCAAGCACGCCAUCGCCGUGGCGGCGGCCACCCAAGCAGCGGCCGACGCGGCCGUGGCUGCGGCCCAUGCCGCCGUCGCCGUCGUGCGUCUCACCAACAAGGGCCGCGCCGCCCACGCCGGCGAGCACCGCGGACCGGCGGCCGCGGCGGUCCGGAUCCAGACGGCAUUCCGAGGCUUCUUGGCUAAGAAGGCGCUGCGUGCGCUCAAGGCCCUCGUGAAGCUGCAGGCGCUGGUGCGCGGCUACCUCGUGCGAAAGCAGGCGGCCGCCACACUGCAGAGCAUGCAGGCGCUGGUGCGCGCGCAGGCCAGCAUGCGCGCCCACCGCGCCGUCGCCAGCGCCGCUCUCCCGCAGCUCCACCAUUCUUCUUUCCGGCCGCGCCGCUCCUUGCAGGAGCGGUACGCGGACGACACGAGGAGCGAGCACGGGGUGGCGGCGUACAGCCGGAGGCUGUCGGCGAGCAUCGAGUCGUCGUCCUACGGGUACGACCGGAGCCCCAAGAUCGUGGAGAUGGACACCGGCAGGCCCAAAUCUCGGUCGUCGUCGCGCCGGGCGAGCUCCCCGCUGCUCGACCCGUGCGAGGAAUGGUGCGCCGCCGCCAACCCCAUGUCGUCGCCGCUGCUGCUGCCGUGCCACAUGCCAGGCGGCGCGCCGCCCCGCAUCGCCGUGCCGACCCCGCGCCACCUCCCCGAGUACGACUGGUGCGCGAUGGAGAAGGCCCGGCCGGCGACGGCGCAGUGCACGCCGCGGUACAUGAACGCGAACGCGCCGGCCACCCCGACCAAGAGCGUGUGCGGCGGCGGCUACUCGUCCUCAUCUCUGCUCAACUGCCCCAGCUACAUGUCCAGCACGCAGUCCUUCGAGGCAAAAGUGCGGUCGCACAGCGCGCCGAAGCAGCGGCCGGAGCCCCCCACGAACAGGAAGCGGGUGCCGCUGAGCGAGGUGGUGGUGGUGGAGUCCCGGGCCAGCCUGAGCGGGGUCGGAAUGCAGCGGUCGUGCAACCGGGUGGAGGAGGCGUUCAACUUCAAGACGGCCGUCGUCGGCCGCCUCGACCGCCCGUCGACGGGGUCCGUCGAGAAUGACCGGCAAGCGUCCUUGCAGAGGAGGUGGUGA